rnacentral:snRNA from 1 species
UUGAGACUUUGUCUGAAGAGC